CUCCAUGUACCUCAGCUUGGUGGUCC
rnacentral:piRNA from 1 species